ACACCCUUCCCUUCCCGUCUGCACCUCCCAGAGCCAGGGGACAGAGGUGCAGGGAGACUCCACGCCUUUCUGCAGUGAUAUUUUCACCAUUGUGCCCAUGGAGGGAGAUAUCUUGCCAAAUUCUUCACUUGAAAUCAAGGUGAUCUUUAAGCCCAAAGAAGCCAGAGUCUACCAAGAGGCAGCCUACUGUGACAUCUCAGGCUGUGAGACCAGGCUGCCCCUGUGCAUCAGCGGGGAAGGCGUCGGGCCCCAGGUGGAACUC